rnacentral:rRNA from 1 species
GAUUAACGCUGGCGGCAUGCCUAAUACAUGCAAGUCGAACGGACUAGCAAUAGUCAGUGGCGAACGGGUGAGUAACGCGUGAGAAACCUGCCCAUAAGACGAGGAUAACGUCUGGAAACGGACGCUAAUACUGGAUAGUAUAACCUGGCGCAUGUCAAGUUAUUUAAAGGGGUGACCCACUUAUGGAUGGUCUUGCGUCGCAUUAGCUAGUUGGUGAGGUAACGGCCCACCAAGGCGACGAUGCGUAGCUGCGCUGAGAGGCGAAACAGCCACACUGGGACUGAGACACGGCCCAGACUCCUACGGGAGGCAGCAGUAGGGAAUUUUCGGCAAGUGGGGGGAACCCUGACCGAGCAAUGCCGCGUGAAUUAUGAAGGUCUUCGGAUCGUAAAGUUCUUUUAUGUAGGAAGAAUGGCCCUUCGGGGAGAUGACGGUACUACAUGAAUAAGCUCCGGCUAACCAUGUG